rnacentral:rRNA from 1 species
ACGGGUGAGUAAUGCCUAGGAAUCUGCCUGGUAGUGGGGGACAACGUUUCGAAAGGAACGCUAAUACCGCAUACGUCCUACGGGAGAAAGCAGGGGACCUUCGGGCCUUGCGCUAUCAGAUGAGCCUAGGUCGGAUUAGCUAGUUGGUGAGGUAAUGGCUCACCAAGGCGACGAUCCGUAACUGGUCUGAGAGGAUGAUCAGUCACACUGGAACUGAGACACGGUCCAGACUCCUACGGGAGGCAGCAGUGGGGAAUAUUGGACAAUGGGCGAAAGCCUGAUCCAGCCAUGCCGCGUGUGUGAAGAAGGUCUUCGGAUUGUAAAGCACUUUAAGUUGGGAGGAAGGGCAGUAACUUAAUACGUUGCUGUUUUGACGUUACCGACAGAAUAAGCACCGGCUAACUCUGUGCCAGCAGCCGCGGUAAUACAGAGGGUGCAAGCGUUAAUCGGAAUUACUGGGCGUAAAGCGCGCGUAGGUGGUUUGUUAAGUUGGAUGUGAAAGCCCCGGGCUCAACCUGGGAACUGCAUUCAAAACUGACAAGCUAGAGUAUGGUAGAGGGUGGUGGAAUUUCCUGUGUAGCGGUG